AGACGACGUGGAGUAUGACGGGUGAGAAUAUUAGAAAUUCCUCUUUGACUGGCCAAUAGCGAUAUUGGCCAUUUUUUU
rnacentral:sRNA from 1 species